GUGGUAAUGCCGGAUGCUCCAUCACACUGCAUGGUGUGUUGGGAAAGCCUUUGCGGCAUGGGAUGGGGUCGCGUCCUAUCAGCUUGAUGGCGGGGUAACGGCCCACCAUGGCUUCGACGGGUAGCCGGCCUGAGAGGGCGACCGGCCACAUUGGGACUGAGAUACGGCCCAGACUCCUACGGGAGGCAGCAGUGGGGAAUAUUGCACAAUGGGCGCAAGCCUGAUGCAGCGACGCCGCGUGAGGGAUGGAGGCCUUCGGGUUGUAAACCUCUUUUGUUAGGGAGCAAGGCAUUUUGUGUUGAGUGUACCUUUCGAAUAAGCACCGGCUAACUACGUGCCAGCAGCCGCGGUAAUACGUAGGGUGCAAGCGUUAUCCGGAAUUAUUGGGCGUAAAGGGCUCGUAGGCGGUUCGUCGCGUCCGGUGUGAAAGUCCAUCGCUUAACGGUGGAUCCGCGCCGGGUACGGGCGGGCUUGAGUGCGGUAGGGGAGACUGGAAUUCCCGGUGUAACGGUGGAAUGUGUAGAUAUCGGAAAGAACACC
rnacentral:rRNA from 1 species